rnacentral:rRNA from 1 species
UACGAAGGGGGCUAGCGUUGCUCGGAAUUACUGGGCGUAAAGCGCACGUAGGCGGAUCUUUUAGUCAGGGGUGAAAUCCUGGAGCUCAACUCCAGAACUGCCUUUGAUACUGAGGGUCUUGAGUUCGGGAGAGGUGAGUGGAACUGCGAGUGUAGAGGUGAAAUUCGUAGAUAUUCGCAAGAACACCAGUGGCGAAGGCGGCUCACUGGCCCGAUACUGACGCUGAGGUGCGAAAGCGUGGGGAGCAAACAGG